rnacentral:rRNA from 1 species
CGCAAGAUUGAAACUCAAAGGAAUUGACGGGGGCCCGCACAAGCGGAGGAACAUGUGGUUUAAUUCGAUGAUACGCGAGGAACCUUACCUGGGCUUAAAUGUAGAUUGCUUGAAUGGGAAACCAUUCUUUCUUCGGACAAUUUACAAGGUGCUGCAUGGUUGUCGUCAGCUCGUGCCGUGAGGUGUCGGGUUAAGUCCCAUAACGAGCGCAACCCCUAUCGUUAGUUGCUAGCAGGUAAUGCUGAGGACUCUAGCGAGACUGCCGGUGUAAACCGCGAGGAAGGUGGGGAUGACGUCAAAUCAGCACGGCCCUUACGUCCAGGGCUACACACGUGUUACAAUGGCCGGUACAGAGGGCAGCUACAUAGUGAUAUGAUGCAAAUCUCGAAAGCCGGUCUCAGUUCGGAUCGGAGUCUGCAACUCGACUCCGUGAAGGUGGAUUCGCUAGUAAUCGCAUAUCAGCCAUGAUGCGGUGAAUACGUUCCCGGGCCUUGUACACACCGCCCGUCAAGCCAUGGAAGCCGGGGGUACCUGAAGUCUGUCACCGCAAGGAGCGGCCUAGGGUAAAACUGGUAACUGGGGCUAAGUCGUAACAAGGUAGCA